CCCAUCCCGAACCCGGAAGUUAAGCACUGUUGCGCCGAUGGUACUGCGUCUUAAGGCGUGGGAGAGUAGGUCACCGCCAAAC
rnacentral:rRNA from 1 species